UAGAGUUGUUGUUAAGGUCUGUUAACGUCUAAAUUCUUUCUUUGAAGUGCUGCUUGAUUUUUUUGUUUUUGAACAUUUUUGGAAAUUUUUUCAACCAGAUUCUCGAGUUUCUCUGGACGUCUUUGGUGUUUUUGGCUUGAUCCACCGGACUAAUAAUUUGUUGGAAUCAUGGCACUCUUAGAAGACCAAACGUAUUGGCGGAUUGCACCUCAACGCGUGGGAUUUCUUAAUGAUAAAAUAUAAAUGAUUUCUUCUGUUAAACAGUUACUUCUUUACUCACUCGAUUUUAUAAAUUUUUAGCAAAGAAGCCCAAAAGUCCAAAGUCCAACGCUUGGGACUAUGAGGCCGAAUUAGCAGACAGGCGAUCUACGCGGCCUGAACCACUUCAGAUUUGGAAAAAAGACGAAUUCAUUGAAAAAAAAAUGAGCGUGACUUCAUCGAGGGAAGUAUCACUUUGCCGAAGUUUCUUAGAAUCUCAAGAAAUCUUACGGAUCCUGAUAAUGAGUACGGAUCUUAAUGACUCUUCCAAUAAUAGUCAUGCCGAUCAAGAACAACCGGCGGUUCGACAUAGGUGCCGAUUUUUGACUGGAUCAGUCAGGGCAGUUCAACUUCCUCCUCCUACCGAGGUUUGGUGAAUGUAACCAAGGCGAAAUGGAUGAGAAUCGUAUCACAAUCCAUGCCCCUACAUUUGGUAAAAUGGUCACUG